UACGAAGGGGGCUAGCGUUGCUCGGAAUCACUGGGCGUAAAGCGCACGUAGGCGGCUUCUCAAGUCAGGGGUGAAAUCCUGGAGCUCAACUCCAGAACUGCCUUUGAUACUGAGGAGCUCGAGUCCGGGAGAGGUGAGUGGAACUGCGAGUGUAGAGGUGAAAUUCGUAGAUAUUCGCAAGAACACCAGUGGCGAAGGCGGCUCACUGGCCCGGUACUGACGCUGAGGUGCGAAAGCGUGGGGAGCGAACAGG
rnacentral:rRNA from 1 species